rnacentral:RNase_P_RNA from 1 species
AAAGCAGACCAUGCGGCCGCCGCUGUAGAGAUAAACCUUACAGGGGAGGAAAGUCCGAGCUCCAUAGGGCAGGACGGUUGUUAACGACAACCGGGGGUGACCCCAGGGAAAGUGCCACAGAAAAUACACCGCCCAAACAACGACUAUAUAUCCUUGGGUAAGGGUGAAAUAGUGAGGUAAGAGCUCACUGCCCCUUGUGGCGACACAAGGCAGCGGUAAACCCCGUCCGGAGAAAGGUUGAAUAGGUUUCACCCACUGAGCAAGCCCACUCAAUUGCCACAACGCUGGCAAGGUGAAACGGGUAGCAACCGCACAAGGCUGAUAGCAAUAUCCCACGCCUUAGACGAAUGACCGCACAAAACAGAACUCGGCUUACGGUCUGCUUUAAAG